ensembl:lncRNA
UCUGUGUAUGUCUCUGCUCUGAGUAUGUGUAUGUGUCUGUGUCUGUCUCUGUCUCUGAGUCUGUGUCUGUGUCUGUGUCUGUCUCUGCUCUGUGUCUGUGUAUGUCUCUGUCUCUGUCUCUGCUCUGAGUAUGUGUAUGUGUAUGUUCUGUGUCUGUGUCUGUCUCUGCUCUGUGUCUGUGUCUGUCUCUGCUCUGAGUCUGUGUCUGUGUAUGUCUCUGCUCUGAGUCUGUGUCUGUGUAUGUCUCUGCUCUGAGUCUGUGUCUGUGUCUGUCUCUGCUCUGUGUCUGUGUCUGUCUCUGCUCUGAGUCUGCGACUAACUGCUGAUGAUGUCAUCCUCCUAAUAAAAGGGAAAUGUAGAAAGAGGAAGAUAAUACAAGUGUAACAUGGUGGUUGAGGUUGGGAGAUUUUCUGCACCAGUUUAUCUUUAUAGAUGAUUCCUGAGGACAGUGGACUUA